GGGGCCUUAGCUCAGCUGGGAGAGCGCCUGCUUUGCACGCAGGAGGUCCGCGGUUCGAUCCCGCUAGGCUCCACCA
rnacentral:tRNA from 1 species